GAUGAACGCUGGCGGCGUGCCUAAUACAUGCCAGUCGAGCGAACGGACGAGAAGCUUGCUUCUCUGAUGUUAGCGGCGGACGGGUGAGUAACACGUGGAUAACCUACCUAUAAGACUGGGAUAACUUCGGGAAACCGGAGCUAAUACCGGAUAAUAUUUUGAACCGCAUGGUUCAAAAGUGAAAGACGGUCUUGCUGUCACUUAUAGAUGGAUCCGCGCUGCAUUAGCUAGUUGGUAAGGUAACGGCUUACCAAGGCAACGAUGCAUAGCCGACCUGAGAGGGUGAUCGGCCACACUGGAACUGAGACACGGUCCAGACUCCUACGGGAGGCAGCAGUAGGGAAUCUUCCGCAAUGGGCGAAAGCCUGACGGAGCAACGCCGCGUGAGUGAUGAAGGUCUUCGGAUCGUAAAACUCUGUUAUUAGGGAAGAACAUAUGUGUAAGUAACUGUGCACAUCUUGACGGUACCUAAUCGGAAAGCCACGGCUAACUACGUG
rnacentral:rRNA from 1 species